UGCCAGCCGCCGCGGUAAUACAGAGGGUGCAAGCGUUAAUCGGAAUUACUGGGCGUAAAGCGAGCGUAGGUGGCUUAAUAAGUCAGAUGUGAAAGCCCCGGGCUUAACCUGGGAACGGCAUCUGAUACUGUUAGGCUAGAGUAGGUGAGAGGAAGGUAGAAUUCCAGGUGUAGCGGUGAAAUGCGUAGAGAUCUGGAGGAAUACCGAUGGCGAAGGCAGCCUUCUGGCAUCAUACUGACACUGAGGUUCGAAAGCGUGGGUAGCAAACAGGAUUAGAUA
rnacentral:rRNA from 1 species